AACGUAGGAUCCGAGCGUUAUCCGAAUUCACUGGGCGUAAAGCGCGUGCAGGCGGUUCGGUAAGUUGGAUGUGAAAUCUCCCGGCUCAACUGGGAGAGGUCGUUCAAGACUGUCGGACUAGAGGACGGUAGAGGAAGGUGGAAUUCCCGGUGUAGUGGUGAAAUGCGUAGAUAUCGGGAGGAACACCUGUGGCGAAAGCGGCCUUCUGGGCCGUUCCUGACGCUCAGACGCGAAAGCUAGGGGAGCGAACGGG
rnacentral:rRNA from 1 species